rfam:TPA: Bos taurus chromosome 7, whole genome shotgun sequence.
UCCCUGGUGGCUCAGAGGUUAAAGUGUCUGCCUCCAAUGCAGAAGACCCAGGAUUGAUCCCUGGGUUCAAUCCCUGGGUUGGGAA